UUUUUGGAGCCCAUAUUCUUCUUGUUAGCAUUUUUUUGCUAACAAAAAGAAUAUGGGCUCCAAAAA
rfam:Triticum aestivum genome assembly, contig: Triticum_aestivum_CS42_TGACv1_scaffold_435456_5DL